GUGCCAGCAGCCGCGGUAAUACGUAGGGUGCGAGCGUUGUCCGGAAUUACUGGGCGUAAAGAGCUCGUAGGUGGUUUGUCGCGUCGUCUGUGAAAUUCCGGGGCUUAACUCCGGGCGUGCAGGCGAUACGGGCAUAACUUGAGUGCUGUAGGGGAGACUGGAAUUCCUGGCGUAGCGGUGAAAUGCGCAGAUAUCAGGAGGAACACCGAUGGCGAAGGCAGGUCUCUGGGCAGUUACUGACGCUGAGGAGCGAAAGCAUGGGUAGCGAACAGGAUUAGAUACCCUGGUAGUCCAUGCCGUAAACGGUGGGCGCUAGGUGUGGGGGUUUUAUUUACGAUUCCCGUGCCGUAGCUAACGCAUUAAGCGCCCCGCCUGGGGAGUACGGCCGCAAGGCUAAAACUCAAAGGAAUUGACGGGGGCCCGCACAAGCGGCGGAGCAUGUGGAUUAAUUCGAUGCAACGCGAAGAACCUUACCUGGGCUUGACAUACACCAGAUCGCUGCAGAGAUGUAGUUUCCCUUGUGGUUGGUGUACAGGUGGUGCAUGGUUGUCGUCAGCUCGUGUCGUGAGAUGUUGGGUUAAGUCCCGCAACGAGCGCAACCCUUGUCUUAUGUUGCCAGCAUUUGGUUGGGGACUCAUGAGAGACUGCCGGGGUUAACUCGGAGGAAGGUGGGGAUGACGUCAAAUCAUCAUGCCCCUUAUGUCCAGGGCUUCACACAUGCUACAAUGGUCGGUACAACGCGCAGCGACACUGUGAGGUGGAGCGAAUCGCUGAAAGCCGGUCUUAGUUCGGAUUGGGGUCUGCAACUCGACCCCAUGAAGUCGGAGUCGCUAGUAAUCGUAGAUCAGCAAUGCUGCGGUGAAUACGUUCCCGGGCCUUGUACACACCGCCCGUCACGUCAUGAAAGUUGGUAACACCCGAAGCCAGUGGCUCAAACUUGUUAGGGAGCUGUCUAAGGUGGGAUCGGCGAUUGGGACGAAGUCGUAACAAGGUA
rnacentral:rRNA from 1 species